ACAAAAGGCCCAUUCUUAUUCUGCUGUUCAUUUCUUCCCUCACCAUGUAGCCCGCACUCAAAACCAUAAACUGCCCAAUUUUAUUUUUCGUUUUUUACUUUCCCUGCAAAUUUCAUGGAUUUGCGAGCUUCACAUCUCCUCAUUUUCAAUAACACUAGAGUUAAAUAGAAAUUGGAUUGAUUUGAUUUCGGUUCAGCCGAAAACAAAAAUAGAUGAACUCAAACUCGAGGCCUUUGACGUUCUGCUGAGACAGUUGGGGUUUCAUCAUUCAGAGUCUGAUUCAAUUGCGGCACCGACACCGGCACCGGUCUGUCGUCUGGCUGCUUCUACUUCAAUCGAUCGCCCAGUCACUUAUAACCUUUUCAUUUCUUACCGGCUUACUGUUCUUUAUUGAUGAUUUGUGCGGACAUGGUUUGUUGAACAAACUAAUGAUCCAAGUAGAGAAGGUUGCUGAGGAGAAGCUUCGUCCCCGAGUUAACCAGACUAGAGACUUGACACUUACAAGAAAAAAUGGGUUAUGUAGGAGCACAUGGAGUUAUAGCUCUGCACAUAUACAAAUACAGUGGGGUUGAUACCAGUCUUGAUGUAAUUAGUAGCAGUAUUUUGAAUUUCCUCAAUUUUUGAGAAAGCAGACACCGGCCUCCUCUUCCUGCUGAUCACGUGAAACUGUGGAAUGAAUUUGAAGAUGGAGAGGGUUCUCCAAGGACACUUGUUAAGGGGCAUGGUGGUCGAGGAGGGGGCAGGGGUAGGGGUAUGAAUCUCUACUUCUGGACAGUUACUUAAAUUACAUCAUGCUGUAUGCUUUCAAAUGGGCGUGUAUUAACUUCCAUUUCAAAUUGUAUAUUACAAGUCCUUCUGUAAAUUGAAGCUCAAAUCGGUAUCACAAAAGCAAAACAGGUUAAAGUACUCAAUAUUUUGAGCUUAUUAUUAUAUCUGAUUUCAGAAAAUUUGUUGCAUUCACAUUCAUUUCAAGAAUUUUAGUAUUGUUGCUCAAUUAAUUGGAUACGAAAAAGUAAAAAAGGGGUUUAGAUGCCUUUGACCUUUGCCUUUAUUGGAAAGCUCUGCAGAUUAUUUUGAGGGAGGUUUACUUCUUAUAUGUACAUAUCUGGCAACUAAAUACAGUGGCUGAAAUGAUCAUAAUCUGCUCGUUUAAUGUGCCAAGUAAAUUAAAAUGGUGCAAAAGAUAAGAUUCGUGAUGGUUGGGAUGGUGAACGUGGUGCUGGUGGCGGCGAUCGGGGACGUGCAAGAGGUCUUCUUCUCAAGGUAGAGGAUGGGGUUAUGGUGGUCGAUCAAGUGGAUAUUACAAUUAUCGUGAAUAUGAUGCCCCACCUCCACGAGGUUGUGGGCGUGGUCAUGGUAAGGGAUGGGGACGUGGCCGUGGUUGCAAUCCCAGAUCGGCAAUAGCUGCAUAGGCAUGGAAAGUUGCUGAAGUAUAAAAAUUAAGGUGUGAGGUUGAAAAAUGAUAAGUGGAUGCCUACUCUGCUUUUACUUGAAGUUUGGUGAUAUUUAUGGGCAUUGUCUUUCAUUUCAAAUUGUGAAGUUUCGCGACUACAGUGCUUGCAUUUUUUAAUAAGUAGAUUGUUGUGGCGUAGGAACAUCUCUUAGUUAUUCAAUUUUGAUAAGUUUUUGGCAUAGCAAGUUACAAGAUUGUACAAUUUUUCCCCUUUCAUAGGAAUAAUAGAGCAGUACAUUCUUUCAUUCUUAA